CCUACGGGGGGCAGCAGUGGGGAAUAUUGGGCAAUGGGCGCAAGCCUGACCCAGCAACGCCGCGUGAAGGAAGAAGGCUUUCGGGUUGUAAACUUCUUUUGACAGGGAAGAGUAGAAGACGGUACCUGUCGAAUAAGCCACGGCUAACUACGUGCCAGCAGCCGCGGUAAUACGUAGGUGGCAAGCGUUGUCCGGAUUUACUGGGUGUAAAGGGCGUGUAGCCGGGUUGACAAGUCAGAUGUGAAAUCCUGCGGCUUAACCGCAGAACUGCAGUUGAAACUGUUGAUCUUGAGUACGGGAGAGGCAGACGGAAGUCCUGGUGUAGCGGUGAAAUGCGUAGAUAUUAGGAAGAACACCGGUGGCGAAGGCAGUCUGCUGGACAGCAACUGACGGUGAGGCGCGAAAGCGUGGGGAGCAAACAGGAUUAGAUACCCGAGUAGUC
rnacentral:rRNA from 1 species